rnacentral:tRNA from 1 species
UCCCUGGAGGACUAGUGGUUAGGCCACAGCACUCUUAACGCUGUGGCCCAGGUUCGACUCCCGGCCAGGGAA